rnacentral:rRNA from 1 species
GAUGAACGCUAGCUACAGGCUUAACACAUGCAAGUCGAGGGGAAACGACAUCGAAAGCUUGCUUUUGAUGGGCGUCGACCGGCGCACGGGUGAGUAACGCGUAUCCAACCUGCCCAUCACUUGGGAAUAACCUUGCGAAAGUAAGACUAAUACCCAAUGACAUCCCACGAAGACAUCUGAAUGGGAUUAAAGAUUUAUCGGUGAUGGAUGGGGAUGCGUCUGAUUAGCUUGUUGGCGGGGUAACGGCCCACCAAGGCAACGAUCUGUAGGGGUUCUGAGAGGAAGGUCCCCCACAUUGGAACUGAGACACGGUCCAAACUCCUACGGGGGGCAGCAGUGAGGAAUAUUGGUCAAUGGGCGAGAGCCUGAACCAGCCAAGUAGCGUGCAGGAUGACGGCCCUAUGGGUUGUAAACUGCUUUUAUAAGGGAAUAAAGUGGGUCUCGUGAGACUUUUUGCAUGUACCUUAUGAAUAAGGACCGGCUAAUUCCGUG